rnacentral:lncRNA from 1 species
CAGGUUUCACAUAUUUGACAGGUACUGUUUCUACCACUGGAGAUUUGAUGCACUCUUCGUGCAGUCUACUCUUUUCUGAGAGGACUAGUGAAUUCUCAGCAGGGUGCUCUUGUACACAACUCUCGCCGUUCAAAGCUGGAACAAAUCCAUCUUGCGAAGGACCUUUCAAGAAUGAGUGAAAUUCCACUUGAGGGUGACUUGGCCUAUGCUCAGUGUAUAAACUGUUACAUGGAGCACUGCUGUCACCUUCAGAAGAUGAGCAGCAAACAAUCACUGAGGGGUUUGCAGAAGGGUAAUGAGGGCUGCUAAAAGUUUCCUCUGAUUGCCGCGUGUAGUCAACAAACUGUUCUGAAGUCAUGCUGUAAGGCACCAGAGAAAGACUGCCAUUCUUGACAGCAUCCCUUUCUGAGUAAGUCUCGCCAAUCUGGUUAGCAGUGCCAGCAACAUGGUUCUCUAUUUGGUAAUAUAGAUUUGAAGAGUUAGUAUAGUAUGAGGCAUUUUUAGAGUGGUUUUCAUGCACAGCAGUUCCAUCAGAGUAGCAAAGGACAGAAGGAAGAGGCACCAUGUCAGCAUGGGAGCUCAUACUUUCUACAAAGUCAUCUGCUUUUUCUUCCUCAUCAUCUUCCUCAUCUUCCUCUUCCUCUUCAUCAUCAUCUGAUUCACUAGGAGCUAAACUCUGAGUGCUAGAAUCAGUAACUCCACUACAAAAGCUACUCCCAUCUUCCUCUUCCUCCUCUUCCCCAGGGCAGUCCAAGUCCUCGGCUGACUGAGAAUGCAUGACUGCAGCCUGAGGUUCAGUUUCAAUCUCAAAAUUUUCUGCAAUUGAAUAUUCAACCGGAUGGGGUCCCGGACUCAUAGAACUAGUGUGUGCACUUAUCUCACUGUGGCAGCCAUUUAGUGACGGAACUUGCUGUUCUCUAUUUUUCUCCAAUUCAAGUUUCAUUAUUGUGUGCAAAAAGUGAGUCCGUACACGGAUAGGAUUAAAUUCAAUUCUACCUGCUGUAUUGCUACACCCUUCUUUAGUGCAACCACAUGGAAAAGACAUACGAUCCACCUUUUGAAAAAGAGAAUACAGAUUAACAAUACUUAGCAUAAAC